AUGUGUAAGGAGAAAGAUGAUUUUGGCCCUUCCUUGGUUAUGACUUUGGUAUGUAGCCACCUCGCAAGAUGUUAUGAUUGCAGGCAACCCCGCGUCAGUCAAGGACCUGCCCUUGGUGCCAGGGGAAAGAAAGUGACAAGUCUUACAGAAUACCACGAGGGAAACUGGAAUGAGCAGCUUAGCUUAGUGUUUCUAUUUGCAAGUUCAAGUGAAGAAAGACAGAGGAUGACGAGGGCUUGCUGCUCCUGCCAUCAUUUUCAUUGCUUCCUCAUGCCCUCCCUAUUUGCAAGUUCAUGUGAAGAGAAGACAGGAUGGCAAUGGCAUGCCGCUCUUGACAGCGUUUUCAUUGCAUCCCCAUAA
rnacentral:rRNA from 1 species